rnacentral:sRNA from 1 species
CCAUUUCUGAAUACAUUCACUUCUCUCCCUCACAAAUUGGUGAUUUGCUUUUUUUCCAGGUCCACAACCCAAGCAAAAACAUGUUUGAAGACCCCUUACACGCCGCUGAAGCUGUUUCUGUCCCUUGCUUUGAUCAACAGGAAGUAUUGCCAAUUGAAUCAGAUAAAGUGUUCAAGAGGAUGCCUCGUUGAUGAUACCCUCCAGUUAUUAAGACUCGAAGGAUCUGAAGUCCCGACAUUCCACCAGUCGCAUAUCGAACCCGGAGUUGAACUCCUCUCAGCCCUGUUUGCUUUACCUGCUGUUUGUUCG